AGUCGCGUGGUCUAAUGGUUAUGAUUUCUCGUUCACAUGGUUUCUUUUCCAGUGAAUCCUCAGCUUAUGAGGAGGUUCCGAGAAGGUUCCCGGUUCGAUCCCGGGCGCGACUA